rnacentral:rRNA from 1 species
AGCGGCGGAUGGGUGAGUAACACGUGGGGAACCUGCCCCUAAGUCUGGGAUACCAUUUGGAAACAGGUGCUAAUACCGGAUAAUAAAGCAGAUCGCAUGAUCAGCUUUUGAAAGGCGGCGUAAGCUGUCGCUAAGGGAUGGCCCCGCGGUGCAUUAGCUAGUUGGUAAGGUAACGGCUUACCAAGGCGACGAUGCAUAGCCGAGUUGAGAGACUGAUCGGCCACAUUGGGACUGAGACACGGCCCAAACUCCUACGGGAGGCAGCAGUAGGGAAUCUUCCACAAUGGACGCAAGUCUGAUGGAGCAACGCCGCGUGAGUGAAGAAGGUUUUCGGAUCGUAAAGCUCUGUUGUUGGUGAAGAAGGAUAGAGGUAGUAACUGGCCUUUAUUUGACGGUAAUCAACCAGAAAGUCAUGGCUAACUACGUGCCAGCAGCCGCGGUAAUACGUAGGUGGCAAGCGUUGUCCGGAUUUAUUGGGCGUAAAGCGAGCGCAGGCGGAAAAAUAAGUCUAAUGUGAAAGCCCUCGGCUUAACCGAGGAACUGCAUCGGAAACUGUUUUUCUUGAGUGCAGAAGAGGAGAGUGGAACUCCAUGUGUAGCGGUGGAAUGCGUAGAUAUAUGGAAGAACACCAGUGGCGAAGGCGGCUCUCUGGUCUGCAACUGACGCUGAGGCUCGAAAGCAUGGGUAGCGAACAGGAUUAGAUACCCUGGUAGUCCAUGCCGUAAACGAUGAGUGCUAAGUGU